GUUGCCUGUCAAUUUUGAACGCUGUUAAGCGUUGCUAACACGCCAUGUUUGUUGAGUAUGCGAUAUCAAAUUGAAUGUGGGCACAGCCACGGGCAGAAGAGUAUGCAUAUAUCAGGUCCCGAAACAAGGUAAUGCCAGUAAUCAACCAUUUUAGCAGCAUUACUGAAUCGCGCCAAACAAGACAGCAGCGACAAACUGGUUUAAGCCUUUCCGAGCCUUGUCGCUGUGGCUGCCAUUUAGUUGUCCGAACGUACAAAAGGUAAGAAAAAUCAAAGCCGAAACGGUAAUUAUCUUUUGACAGCACUUAAGUUGAAUUUGGUAAUGACAGUCGAGCCAACGAGCCAAAGAUCGGGCCAACGGGACGAUAAAAGCGGCGCUUUAGCCCAAAUGACAGCCGAGGUUAAAGCCCGGCCGAUUAAAUUGACAGUUUGUCAGGCCAGUAUUUUGUAUUUCGCGCUGUGUUAAAAAGCGUGUUCAAUGUGACUUGGCAUAGAGCCGAAAAAGCAGUGCUAUUUGUAACACAAAUCUGCGUGUUUCCAUAUCAUGUGACUCUUUUCCAACUAGAUAGAGACAUACAUUUGAAACCAUUAGCCUUCUAUAUCCUUUUUAAUAUAAUAAUAAAAAUAUUUUCAAAACCUA